GAUGAACGCUGGCGGCGUGCCUAAUACAUGCAAGUCGAACGCUGGAGAUCUAGCUUGCUAGAUCGAAGGAGUGGCGAACGGGUGAGUAAUACAUAAGCAACCUACCCACGAAGACUGGGAUAAUCUCUGGAAACGGGGACUAAUACCGGAUAGGUAAUCGGAAGGCAUCUUCUGGUUAUUAAAGGUUAAAAACACUGGUGGAUGGGCUUAUGGCGCAUUAGUUAGUUGGUGAGGUAACGGCCCACCAAGACGAUGAUGCGUAGCCGGCCUGAGAGGGUGAACGGCCACAUUGGGACUGAGACACGGCCCAGACUCCUACGGGAGGCAGCAGUAGGGAAUUUUCGGCAAUGGGGGCAACCCUGACCGAGCAACGCCGCGUGAGUGAAGACGGCCUUUGGGUUGUAAAGCUCUGUUGUAAGGGAAGAACGGUAGAUAGAGAAUAUCUAAGUGACGGUACCUUACCAGAAAGCCACGGCUAACUACGUGCCAGCAGCCGCGGUAAUACGUAGGUGGCGAGCGUUAUCCGGAAUUAUUGGGCGUAAAGGGUGCGUAGGCGGCCUGUUAAGUAAGUGGUUAAAUUGUUGGGCUCAACCCAAUCCAGCCACUUAAACUGGCAGGCUAGAGUAUUGGAGAGGCAAGUGGAAUUCCAUGUGUAGCGGUAAAAUGCGUAGAUAUAUGGAGGAACACCAGUGGCGAAGGCGGCUUGCUAGCCAAAGACUGACGCUCAUGCACGAAAGCGUGGGGAGCAAAUAGG
rnacentral:rRNA from 1 species